rnacentral:lncRNA from 1 species
CUUCUUUUCAAUCCCCAGCACCUCUCCAAAGUGGACAAAGGGCUCUAGUUAACAUUUCUUAAAAGAAAACAAAUGUUCAAUGAGCUUAUCAGAAAACAUUUAACAUCCUGAUCAUCAGGGAAACAUAAAUUAAUAUUACAAUGAAAUAUGACUUCACACCUUUUAGGAUGGCUAUCAUAAAAAAUGAAAGAUAACAAGUGUUUGAGAAGACCUGGAGAAAGAGAACCCUUAUACACUGUCGAUGGGAAUGUAAAUUAGUUUAACCAUUAUGAAAAAUAGCAUGGAGUUUACACACACACACACAAAUACUACCAUAUAAUUCAGCAAUCCCACUACUGGGUGCAUUUACAAAGAAAAUGAAAUCAGUAUGUCAGAAAGAUAACUGAAUUCCCUCAUUCAUUGCAGCACUAUUUAUAAUAGCUAAAUAUUUAUAAUAGCUAAGGUGUAAGUGUCCAUCAGCAGAUGAACAGAUAAGAAAAUAUGGUAUGUAUAUACAGUAGAAUACAAUUGUGCCUUUAAAAAGAAGAGUGUUUUGUUAUUUGUGAAGACAUGGAUGGUUCUAGAGGACAUUAUGUUAAGUGAAAUAAGCUAAACAUAGAAAGACAAGUACUGCCAUGAUCUCAUAUGUGGAGUCCAAAAAAGUUGAUCUCAUACAAGUUGAGAGUAGGAUAGUGGUUACCAGAAACUGAAAAAGGAUGGAGGGUUCAGGGGAUGUUGGUCAAGGAAUACAAAAUUUCAGUUGGACAUGAGAAACAAGUUCAAAAACCUGUUGUACAACAUGGUGACUAUAGUUAGCAACAAUGUAUUGUACACUUGAAAAUUGCUGAGACUAGAUUUUAAUUGUUCUCACCACACACACUAAAAUGAGGUAAUGCGUAUGCUAAUUUAGCCAUUCCACAUUGUAUAUUAUUAUACAUUAUAUAUAUAUAUAUAUAUAUAUAUAUAUAUAUAUAUAUAAUUAUUAUAUAUUUCAAAG